AAUUCAAUUGCAUUAAAUUUUCAACUGAAAUGCUUGACAUUGGCUUUGAUAAUUCAUUCUUGUCAUUUAGAUGAAUAUCCAAGGUUAAUGAAUUCACAUAUACAGAGAAGCUUAUAUCUUCAAUAAACAAGUCAUCUAAAAUCAUUUUCUGAUAAAAAUCCCUGUUCAUUAGCCAAUGGUCAAAUUUCCCUUCACCCCUAGUGAUGGCACUCACAGUUGAACUCCAGGGGUUUUUAAUGAAAUCUGAAAAAGUAAAUUCAGAUCCCACCUUAAAUUUG
rnacentral:misc_RNA from 1 species